GACGAACGCUGGCGGCGUGCUUAACACAUGCAAGUCGAACGGUGAUGCUCCAGCUUGCUGGAGUGGAUCAGUGGCGAACGGGUGAGUAACACGUGAGCAACCUGCCCCAGACUCUGGAAUAAGCGCUGGAAACGGCGUCUAAUACUGGAUACGAAACUGGCCCGCAUGGACAUGGUUUGGAAAGUUUUUCGGUUUGGGAUGGGCUCGCGGCCUAUCAGCUUGUUGGUGAGGUAAUGGCUCACCAAGGCGACGACGGGUAGCCGGCCUGAGAGGGCGACCGGCCACACUGGGACUGAGACACGGCCCAGACUCCUACGGGAGGCAGCAGUGGGGAAUAUUGCACAAUGGGCGAAAGCCUGAUGCAGCGACGCCGCGUGAGGGAUGACGGCCUUCGGGUUGUAAACCUCUUUCAGCAGGGAAGAAGCGAAAGUGACGGUACCUGCAGAAGAAGCACCGGCUAACUACGUG
rnacentral:rRNA from 1 species